rnacentral:rRNA from 1 species
CACGUAGGCGGCUUGUUAAGUCAGGGGUGAAAUCCUGGAGCUCAACUCCAGAACUGCCUUUGAUACUGGCAAGCUUGGAGUCCGGGAGAGGUGAGUGGAACUGCGAGUGUAGAGGUGAAAUUCGUAGAUAUUCGCAAGAACACCAGUGGCGAAGGCGGCUCACUGGCCCGGUACUGACGCUGAGGUGCGAAAGCGUGGGAGCAAACA